rfam:Dendroctonus ponderosae Seq01040112, whole genome shotgun sequence.
AAAACGGUUCUUUUCAGAACCACAGAUUUAUAUAAAAAAAUUUUGU